UACGGAGGGUACAAGCAUUAAUCGGAUUUACUGGGCGUAAAGGGUGCGUAGGCGGAUAGGAUAGUCAGAUGUGAAAUUCCGGUACUCAAUAUCGGAGCUGCAUUUGAAACUCCCUAUCUAGAGGGUAGACGGAGAGAACGGAAUUCCAUGUGUAGCGGUGAAAUGCGUAGAUAUAUGGAAGAACACCUGUGGCGUAAGCGGUUCUCUAGUUUAUUUCUGACGCUGAGGCACGAGAGUGCGGGGAGCAAACAGG
rnacentral:rRNA from 1 species